CUUUCUAUGAUGAUGAUGAUAUUUCAACUUUCAAAGCAAAGCUGUCCCAGCAGACCUACUACACACAGCCACAAACAGUGUAGAACCUUUCCCUAUCAUCUCCUCUCAUCUUCCCCAUAUUUCUUUCUUUUCCAUAUUUCUCUUUUUCACUCUCUCUCUCUAAUUUCUCUCUCUAUAACGUAAACCCACCUUCUUCCCUCAUUAUAUAUAUCUCUUUAUAGCUAUGAUUUACCCAUUCUCAACUUCCUAGAUCCAUCUCUUUCCAAUCUCUCUCUCUCUCUCAACCACUUUCAUCUCUCUUUGAUACUUUAUGUCAUGUGAGGUGUUUCAUUUGUCCUUCAAAUCAGAGGUUCUGAUGCUGGUGGUGGUGCUCUCUUAUAACUAACUAAAACCCUAGAUAAUGGAUCAUUAUCUUGUUGAAACAGCCACUGUUGGUGCCCAAUCUACUGAAAUAGCCACUGUUGGUGCCCAACCUAAUGAAGGUAAUACCACUUGACCUCUUCCUUUUGAUAAUUUAUGCCUCCAUUACCACUUAAGGAGAAGGGUAAGGCAAGGGAAAAAGGUAGUGGUAGGAAACCAUCAAGAGCAUGGGAUCAUUUUAAUAAAAUUAAAAAUGAGAAAGAUGGAAGUAUUGUCAAAAAGAAUACACAGCUAAGUGAAAGUCUUAUGGGACUAGUAAUUUAUUGAGUCAUGUGGCUAGUUAACAUACAUUGUCUUUCAAAACAAAAAAGAUGGAAAUGAUGUCAGACUUGUGGUAACUUCUUUUACAGUAGAAGGUGCUAGGAAAGCUCUAGCUGAAAUGAUCAUUCUUGAUGAAUUGCCUUUUAGAUUUGUUGAAAGGGGUUGAUUUUCGUAGGUUUUGCAAUGCUUUACAACCAAAGUUUACCAUGAUUCCAUCUCGUACCACUGUUGCUAAAGAUGUAGCUGUGAUUUUUAACACUGAGAGGACUAAGUAAAGAAAUUUUUUUAAGGGUCGUAGAGUUUGCCUUACAACUGAUACGUGGACAUCCAUACAAAAUCUUAAUUACAUAUGUCUUACAGCUCAUUUUAUUGAUAAUGAUUGGAAAUUGCAAAAAAAGAUUUUAAAUUUCUAUCAAGUUGAGGAUCAUAAAGGUGAAACUGUUGGUAAGAGGAUUGAGUUAUGUUUACUUGAAUGGAACCUUGGUAGUGUGUUUUACUUUGACUGUUGAUUAUGCGAGUUCUAACAACACAACCAUUAAAUUCUUGAAAAGAAAAACAAAAUAUAAGAAGGGCACUGUUUUGGAUCAUGAGUUCUUACAUAUGCGUUGUUGUGUACAUCUUUUGAAUCUCAUCGUUGGUGAGGACUUGAAAGAGUUGGAUACUUCAAUUUGUUGUGUGCGUGAUGCUAUGAGAUAUGUGAGGUCGUCUCCAAAUAGGCAUGAAUCUUUUAAGAAGUGUGUGGAGAUCUGUCAAAUUGAGUCCAAGUUUCUGUUAUGCUUUGAUGUACCUACUAGGUGGAAUUCAACUUACUUGAUAAAAGAGAGUGCUGAAAAAUUUGAGAAAGCAUUUGAGCAUUUAGAGAAGGAGGACUCAAAUUAUCGAUCUUACUUUUUAGAAGGUGAUGAGGAGGAUGGAAAUGGUAAAAAGAAGAAGUCAUGGGGUGCUCUAACAAAGGGUGACUGGAACAAUUGUAGAUUAUUUUUAAAAUUCUUAGGGCUUUUGUAAAAUGCUACUAAAAGGUUUCCGUGCUCUCUUUAUGUAACUUCUAAUUGUUUUUUUUUUUUGAUGAUAUGUUUGUUAUUCUAACAAAGAUUGAGCAAUUGAGUAAAAAAGAUGGGAAAUAAGAUGAAUUGAUGGCUUUAAUGGAAAAAGGAAUGAAAUAAAAAUUUGACAAAUAUUGGAGUAAUUGAGAUAAAAUAAAUUUGUUGAUAUAUGUUGUUAUAGCGCUUGAUCCACAAAAUAAAAUAAAAUAAAAUAAAAUAAAUUGAGGUAUGUUCAAUUUUGUUUUUCCCAAUUUUUUGGUGAAAGUGUAAUCAAUACAAUGACUGGUUAAGUGAAAGAUUGUUUGACUCGUUUGUAUGACCAUUACCUUGCAAAUGAUUCAAAUUUUGUAGAAGUGCAAGACACAAAUGAACCAUCUAGGAUGGGGAUUGAUGAUGAUUGUGAUGAUCCUCAUUUGUUGAUUGAAUCUCAAUUUAAUACAUAUUUGGAUGCUGAAUUUUCUGUUAUGUGCAAGUCCGAAGUGGACAAGUAUUUGGCUGAUUGUUGUGAAGGAGUGAGAGGUAAAAAUUUUGAAAUUUUGGGGUGAUGGAAAGCUAAUUCUUCUAAGUAUCAAGUGUUGUCCCAAGUUACUCGUGAUGCCGGUUUCAAUAGUGGCUUCGGAGUUAGCAUUUAGUACCGGUGGACGCAUUCUUGAUCCUUUUCGAAGUUCUCUUUCUCUCAUGAUAGUUGAGGUACUUGUUUGUAUUCAGAAUUGGCUUCAAAGCACUGUGCCAAUCUCUCUUUGCAAGGCAAUAGAUGAUGUUUUAGAAUUUGAGCAGUAUCAGAAUCAAAUUCAUUCACAAACUUAAGUUCAAGUCCCAUAACUGUUUAGCAUGGCAAUAGAGCAUAGCUUGGUAAAUAAGCUGAAAUCUUUUUUCAUUUUAUACUAUGUUGUUUGCUUUGAUUUAUGUUUACUUAUUUAUCAAAUUGUUUUUCCUUGCAAGUGGUUGAUACCUGUUGAUAAUACCUUUUUUCUUUGGCACUAUUUGAUGAUGGUCUUUUUUGUGUAUUUUCUAUCCAUCAUUUCUAUCAAAGUUGUUCAUAUUCUACUAUGCUAUGUAUUAAUAUUGCUUCAGUUCUAUAAUAGGAUGAAUGUAAUCAUUAAAAGCAAUUACAAA